rnacentral:rRNA from 2 species
UACAGGGGGGGCAAGCGUUGUUCGGAAUUACUGGGCGUAAAGGGUUCGUAGGUGGCCAACUAAGUCAGAUGUGAAAUCCCUCAGCUUAACUGGGGAACUGCUUCUGAUACUGGUUGGCUUGAGUGCAGGAGAGGAAUGCGGAAUUCCAGGUGUAGCGGUGAAAUGCGUAGAUAUCUGGAGGAACACCGGUGGCGAAGGCGGCAUUCUGGACUGUAACUGACACUGAGGAACGAAAGCCAGGGGAGCAAACGGG